rnacentral:rRNA from 1 species
UACGUAGGGGGCAAGCGUUGUCCGGAUUUAUUGGGCGUAAAAGGCUUGUAGGUGGCCACGCCAAGUCGGCUGUGAAAUCUCCCGGCUCAACUGGGAGGGGUCAUUCGAUACUGGCGGGCUCGAGGCCGGUAGGGGGAAGUGGAAUUCCCGGUGUAGUGGUGGAAUGCGUAGAGAUCAUGAGGAAGACCAGUGGCGAAGGCGGGUCUCUGGACAGUUCCUGACGCUGAGGCACGAAGGUCAGGGGAGCAAACGGG